ensembl:snRNA U6 U6 spliceosomal RNA
AUGCUCAAUUAGAUGGCAUGCGCAGUAAAACUGAGACUGUACAGAGAAGAUUGGCAUGGCCAUCCAUGAUGAUGGUAUGCAAAUUUGUGACGUGCUCCAUAUUUCU